CAGCCGCCGCGGGAAUACGGAGGGUGCGAGCGUUAAUCGGAAUUACUGGGCGUAAAGGGUUCGUAGGUGGUGUAUUAAGUUAUUUGUGAAAUCCCUGGGCUUAACCUGGGCAGGUCAGAUAAUACUGGUACACUCGAGUAUGGGAGAGGGCAGUGGAAUUUCCGGUGUAGCGGUGAAAUGCGUAGAGAUCGGAAGGAACACCAGUGGCGAAAGCGGCUGCCUGGCCUAAUACUGACACUGAGGAACGAAAGCGUGGGGAGCAAACAGGAUUAGAUACCCGUGUAGUCCCUGUCUCUUAUAC
rnacentral:rRNA from 1 species